AUGAACGCUAGCGACAGGCCUAACACAUGCAAGUCAGGGGCAGCACAAGGAGCAAUCUGAGGUGGCGACCGGCGCACGGGUGAGUAACACGUAUGCAACCUGCCUGUAAGCGGGGAAUAACCCGUUGAAAGACGGACUAAUACCGCAUAAUACUAAAUUACUGCAUGGUAAUUUAUUUAAACAUUUAUGGCUUACAGAUGGGCGAUGCGCAUGAUUAGCUAGUUGGAGAGGUAACGGCUCCCCAAGGCAACGAUCAUUAGGGGUUCUGAGAGGAAGGUCCCCCACACUGGUACUGAGACACGGACCAGACUCCUACGGGAGGCAGCAGUGAGGAAUAUUGGUCAAUGGACGAGAGUCUGAACCAGCCAAGUCGCGUGCAGGAAGAAUGUUACCCCUAUGGAUUGGUAAACUGCUUUUGCAGGGGAAUAAAGUGCAUCACGUGUGAUGUUUUGUAUGUACUCUGCGAAUAAGGAUCGGCUAACUCCGUGCCAGCCGCCGC
rnacentral:rRNA from 1 species